AGCGAACGUUUGCGGCGGGCCUAACACAUGCAAGUCGAACGGGCUAGCAAUAGUCAGUGGCGCACGGGUGCGUAACACGUGGGUAAUCAACCCUUCAGCCUGGGAUAACGAUCUGAAAGGAUCGCUAAUACCGGAUGCGAUGCGGGAGUCCUCGGACUUCCGCAGGAAAGCUCCGCAAGGGGCACUGAAGGACGAGCCUGCGGCCCAUCAGCUAGUUGGUGAGGUAAAAGCUCACCAAGGCGAAGACGGGUAGCUGGUCUGAGAGGAUGAUCAGCCACACUGGAACUGAGACACGGUCCAGACUCCUACGGGAGGCAGCAGUGGGGAAUAUUGCGCAAUGGGCGAAAGCCUGACGCAGCCACGCCGCGUGAGCGAUGAAGGCCUUCGGGUCGUAAAGCUCUGUGGGGAGAGAAGAAUAAAGCCUGUGAAGAGCAGGCCUUGACGGUAUCUCCUUAGCAAGCACCGGCUAACUCCGUGCCAGCAGCCGCGGUAAUACGGAGGGUGCGAACGUUGCUCGGAAUCAUUGGGCGUAAAGCGCACGUAGGCUGCGAGGAAAAGUUGGGUGUGAAAGCCCUGGGCUCAACCAGGAAGUGCAUUCAAAACUACCUUGCUUGAAUCUCGGA
rnacentral:rRNA from 1 species